rnacentral:rRNA from 1 species
UACAGAGGUCCCAAGCGUUGUUCGGAUUCACUGGGCGUAAAGGGUGCGUAGGUGGCCAGGUAAGUUUGGUGUGAAAGCUCGGAGCUUAACUCCGAAAAGUCAUUGAAUACUAUCUGGCUGGAGGGUCGGAGGGGAGACUGGAAUUCUCGGUGUAGCAGUGAAAUGCGUAGAUAUCGAGAGGAACACCAGUGGCGAAGGCGGCUCACUGGCCCCGAUACUGACGCUGAGGUGCGAAAGCGUGGGGAGCAAACAGG